UACGGAGGAUGCGAGCGUUAUCCGGAUUUAUUGGGUUUAAAGGGUGCGUAGGCGGGCUUUUAAGUCAGCGGUAAAAAUUCGGGGCUCAACCCCGUCCGGCCGUUGAAACUGGGGGCCUUGAGUGGGCGAGAAGUAUGCGGAAUGCGUGGUGUAGCGGUGAAAUGCAUAGAUAUCACGCAGAACCCCGAUUGCGAAGGCAGCAUGCCGGCUUCCUACUGACGCUGAAGCACGAAAGCGUGGGGAUCGAACAGG
rnacentral:rRNA from 1 species